AGUUGAUAUAUCUAAACAAUAACAAUCACUAAGAUUGUACGAGGCAUUCAAACUUGAGAGGAAAACUAGCUCAAACUUGUCGAGGCUACAUCGUUAGUGAAGAAACUCACGUUUGAUCUUGUUGAUAUUUGUCAGGACAGAUUUCAUGUUCAACCUCUCACUAGGAAAAUCAGCUGUGCAAUUCAACGCCAACUCCAGAAUAGAGGAUAGACAAUGCAGCUUUUUUGUGAAAUCAGUUUCUUGAUCUUGUUUCAUUAAGGUGACAUCAAUAAUGUCCUCCGGUGCAACAUGUAUUGAAUUAUAUACCCAACGCCUCAUGCUCAAAUUUU
rnacentral:misc_RNA from 1 species